rnacentral:pre_miRNA from 1 species
CUGUGUGGAUGGAGUUCAGCACCAACGGCAGGUGUGUUCACUUGUGUGUGGAUGGUGUUCAGCACCAAGGACAGAUGUGUUUACCA